rnacentral:rRNA from 1 species
AUUGAACGCUGGCGGCAUGCUUUACACAUGCAAGUCGAACGGCAGCGCGGGCUUCGGCCUGGCGGCGAGUGGCGAACGGGUGAGUAAUGCAUCGGAACGUGCCCAGUAGUGGGGGAUAGCCCGGCGAAAGCCGGAUUAAUACCGCAUACGACCUGAGGGUGAACGCGGGGGACCGAAAGGCCUCGCGCUCUUGGAGCGGCCGAUGUCGGAUUAGCUAGUUGGUGGGGUAAAGGCUUACCAAGGCGACGAUCCGUAGCUGGUCUGAGAGGACGACCAGCCACACUGGGACUGAGACACGGCCCAGACUCCUACGGGAGGCAGCAGUGGGGAAUUUUGGACAAUGGGGGCAACCCUGAUCCAGCCAUGCCGCGUGCGGGAAGAAGGCCUUCGGGUUGUAAACCGCUUUUGUUCGGGAAGAAAUCCUCUGGGCUAAUACCCCGGGGGGAUGACGGUACCGGAAGAAUAAGCACCGGCUAACUACGUG